rnacentral:siRNA from 1 species
CGAACUUGGUUCCAAGAAUGGU